rnacentral:lncRNA from 1 species
GUUAACGAUCUGGCGUUGCCGUGAGCUGUGGUGUAGGUUGUAGACGCGGCUCGGAUCCCACGUUGCUGUGGCUCUGGCGUAGGCCGGUGGCUACAGCUCCAAUUCAACCCCUAGCCUGGGAACCUCCAUAUGCCGCGGGAGCGGCCCAAGAAAUAGCAACAACAACAACAACAACAACAACAACAAAAAGACAAAAGACAAAAAAUAAAAUAAAAUAAAAAAAUAAUAAUAAAAAAAAAUAAAAGCUCCUGAUAAUUCCCAGAAGAGACUAUAUUCUUUUUAUUCUCCUCUAAAGAAACCAGCAUUCAACAUAAAUUUUUUCUAGUCAGUUUGUUAUUUUCUGCUUUGAUACUUGUCUUAUAACAGUUUUGGGUUUUACUAUUUUUGUUAACACUUCAUUUUAGGGAUUCUCUUCAGAACAUUAGCACCAUCUAUAACAUUAUCUUAAAUGAAAAUUCUACUCUGGUACCAAAGUUAUGGAACCCAACUCAUCUGUAAGUUGAGGACCACAUGAAUAUACCUAGCACCAUGCUAGACAUUCCCCUAACUAAGUCGCCUGUUCUUCCACUAUCAUAGGGAGAGUCCUUAAGGUUUGACAAAGGAGAGGGAUGGCUAUGAAGGCAGAUUUUAAUGACCUCUGUUUCUGUGGGUAAGAUUGAUGACUGCCCAGUCGUCCAUGACAUGGAAGGAAUUAGUCUUAUCUUCAGCCCAGGAGAAUCUACUAUAUAUUAUUUUUCCAGUACCAAGAAGAUAGCACCCCUUGUACCUAGUUAAUCACUAUGACAACCUAAAGAAGCAAUGCUUAUUGUAAUGUCGAGAACUAUUCUCAGAAAAAAAAAUGCUUUUAAAAUUGAAAUAUUUAUCUAGUUAAAGAUAAGUGCUCUAAAAUUAACAUAUGUUCACUUUUCCUGACAUUAAAUAUAAACCUUAGUUUGAGUCUGUUUUCUAUUUCUACCAGGCGCUGUGAUUCUCUGUGAACAUUAGCAAAAGACAAAAGGAGACAGAAAAUUCUCAAAUGUUUUUAAGCACAUAAAACAAAUUUUUAUCUAUUAGGUAGUGAAUUGUAUUUUCUCUGUUGCCCUUGAGAAUAUCACAAUCAUGAUUUAUCCCUAUGUAUUUUUAGUACAUAUUUAAAUUAGUCAUUGUGAAUCAGAUAUCCUAAGAUCAUUUAAUUAAUUACCUGCAUUAUCUAACCCCUACUUAAAUUUCUUCUCUAGACAUAUUACUCCUACAGACUAAAUUAUUCAUCUCACCAAACCUUCUAAACUGACAGAGCCACUUGCUUUCUAGCUAAAGUACUAUUGUGAAAGCAAGUCUCAGCUCAACAAAUACUUUCUCUUUUAUUAAAAGAUAAGGGUUAAGAACCGCCAUGUCUAAAAAUAGAUACUUGAAGCUUAAAAUCUGUCAGACCAUAUGUUGUACAACUCCAAGAUCCAGGAAACAAAGACAUCCUUCACCAGGAGGUAUGUAUUAUUACAGUCACUCUAGACAGUCAUCGAGUGCCAGUUCAUUUGUAUGAUUGUACAGUCAUUUAAACAUCUUUAGAAGAGAAAUAGAUAUAAAUUCCUGGGGGUGAUGAAGAGAAAACAUUAGUGAAUUGGCACUGAUCUGAUCUGUAUACAUUUGUACCUGUGGUGUGAGAAUGCAUAUGAUGAUGUGAAUGUUUGUCUAGUGUACUUGAGAGUUCUUUUAAGGAAAGUACUUUUCUUGUUCCUCAUUGACAGUCAAUGAAAUAACCACAAAACAUAGGACUCGAGGCAGUCUUUGCCUCUAAGCAAGAUAAUAUUUUACAAAAGUUUAUCAGAUCUUUGUCAUUUUCUUUUCCUGUAUUGGAAUUUGAACAUUUUUUCCUGAGAGAUGUAUUAUUUUAUUGUUUAAAAAUUUCUUUUAAAAGUUUGAAGUAAGUUUUCGGAGUUGCCCUUGGGGCACAGUGGAAGUGAAUCCAACUAGGAACGAUGAGGUUGCGGGUUUGAUCCCUGGCCUUGCUUAGUGGGUUAAGGAUCCGGCGUUGCCGUGACCUGUGGUGUAGGUUGCAGACGAGGCUUGGAUCCCAAGUUGCUGUGGCUGUGGUGUAGACCAGCAGCUGCAGCUCCAAUUUAACCCCUAGCCUGGGAACCUCCAUAGGCCAUAGGUGCAACCCUAAAAAAAGCAAAAAAAAAAAGUUAAGAAAAGUCUUUGAAGUACGUUUUAAAACAUAUUGCCAUUUGGUUCUAAAUAUGUUUACAUAUAUGAUGCACAUUUUAUAACAUUUUACAGAUUUUAUAUGGUGCUAACUCAGCCAUCUUCAGAGAUUAAAUUACGGCCUCUGCUAAAAUAUCAUUUUGAGACUGUGUAAAUAGUACAUUGAAGCAAUUUGGCAGUUACUCAGUUUAGGCCACAAACAAUUCUAGCCUCCAAAGGGGAUUCUUUUCUAUCUUUAUAAUUAUCAAAUCUCCACUUCUCUUUAUGUUGCAGAGGCCCAACUACAUUGGUAUGUUUCAAAAACCAAACACUUUUAAAAUGUUAAGGUUAAGAGAUCCAAGUACUUAGCAACGAUCAUGCAAGAUAGUUGUAAAGACAGAAACAUAUGGUUUUUGUUAACAAAUGAACUUAAGUCCUCUUCAAGUAAUGGAAGAGGAAAGAAGACAUGAAGGGUAAUGUCAGGCCGUGUAUUUCUUCCAGGACAUGAGGCUAUAUUCCUUUUAAUUUUUAAAAUUAUGCAAGUGUGUAUACCUAUAUGUAUGUGUAUAUCUAAAGAAAGCUUUACAUACUCAUGAUACAAAGAUACAAAAGCAUAUACAGUGAAAACAAGUCUCUCUCCUUUUCUUCAGCUGCCCAGCUUCCCUCUCCAAAGGCAAAUGUCGUACCCAGUUUUGGGGUGAUUCUUCUAACAAUAGUGCAUGCAUUUGCCAACAUACAUGUAUAAACCCCUCACCCCUUGUCUUCCUGUCCUUACACACAAAAGGUAAGAUACUAUAAGCUCUACUCUGUUCCUUGAGUUUUCACUCUUGAGAAUUGUUCCACAUCUGACAUAUAAAGUCAUCAUUCCAGCUACUAUCUGCGUAGUAAUCCACAGUAUAAGUACAGCAUAAUUCAUCAGUCUGUUAACAAGGAGCACUUAACUAAUGUUUCCCAUAUUCUACUUUUACAAAUAGAUUGCAAUAAGUAUUUCAUUUGUAUAUAUUUUGUGUUGCAUGUAUGCAAGAUUAUCUAUAGACUGAAAACCUAGGAGUUGAAAUUAUUGGGUCAAAGAGUAUGAGCAUUUUUAAUGUUUACAAGUGGGACCAAACUGCCCUCCAUGAAAAUUGUACUAAUUUUCACUCCCAACGGUAAUGUAUGAAAAAGAAACAAGGUUUUUCAUUAGGACCCACUUCAUAUUUGAAUUCCAAAAGAAAUAAAAGGACAAAUAUAUUAUUUUUACAUAUUACAAAUGUUAAAGAAAUUCCAGCAUUUGAAAGAUAGAAAAUGCAGGAGUCCCUGCUGUGGUGCAGCAGGUUAAAAAUCUGCUCUUUUCUCUGAAGCAGUGAGGGUUUGAUCCCUGGCCCAGCACAGUGGAUUAAGUGUCUGGCAUUGCCGCAGUUGUGGCAUAGGUUGCAGCUGCAGCUCAGAUUUGCUCCUUGGCCCAGGAAUUUCCACAUGCCUUGGGUGCAGCCCCCAAAAAGAAAAAUAGAAAAUAACCCUUCCAGAUUUCAGAUGAUACUUUGAUUACUGUAGUAAUCAAAACAGCCAGGUAUUGACACAAAAACAGAUAUAUGGGUCAAUGGUACAGAAUAGAGAGACUAGAAAUAAGCCCCAACACCUACGGUCAAUUUAUCUUCAACAAAAGAGUUAAGAAUAUGCAAUGAGGAAAAGACAGUCUCUUCAGCAAGUGGUGUUGAGAAAGUUGGACAGCCACAUGUAAAUCAAAUAAGUUAGAACACACCCUCUGACCAGACACAAAAAUAAACUCAAUAUGGGAAUGUAAAUUGGUGCAGCCACUAUGGACAGUAUGGAGGUUUCUUAAAAAACUAAAGAUAGAGUUGCUGUAUGAUCCUGCAGCACCACUCCUGGGUAUACAUCCAGACAAAACUGUAAUUUGAAAAUAUACAUGAAUCCCCAUGUUCAUGGCAGCACUCUUUAUAAGAGCCAAGACAUGGAAAUAACCUAAAUGCCCAUUAAAAGAUGAAUGGAUAAAGAAAAUGAUGGAAUAUUACUCAGCCAUAAAAGAAAUGAAAUACUGCCAUUUGCAGUUAUGUGGAUCAACCCAGAGAUUAUAUACUAAGCAAAAUAGAAGGAUAAAGAAAAAUACCACAGGAUGUCAUUUAUAUGGGGAGUAUUAAAUAUAAUACAAAUGAACUUAUCUAUGAAAUGGAAGCAAACUCAUAGAACAUAGAGAACAGACUUGUGAUUGCCAAGGGAGAGGGUAGAUGAGGUAGCGGUUUCCAUCCCUGGCCUCACUCAGUUGGUUAAGGAUCUGGUGUUGCUGUGAGCUGUGGUGUAGGUCGCAGACGCGGUUUGGAUCCCGUGUUGCUGUGGCUGUGGCAUAGGCUGGAGGCUACAGCUCUGAUUAGACCCCUAGCCUGGGAAACUCCAUAUGCCACAAGUGCAGU